AGAGUUUGAUCCUGGCUCAGAUUGAACACUGGCGGUAUGCUUUACACAUGCAAGUCGAACGGGCUUGGGGGCUUGCUCCCCGGUUAGUGGCGAACGGGUGAGUAAUAUAUCGGAACAUAUCCGGAAGUGGGGGAUAACGUAGCGAAAGUUACGCUAAUACCGCAUAUGCCCUGAGGGGGAAAGGGGGGGAUCGCAAGACCUCUCGCUUUCGGAGUGGCCGAUACCGGAUUAGCUAGAUGGUGAGGUAAAGGCUCACCAUGGCGACGGAUCCGUAGCGGGUCUGAGAGGCGCCAGCCACACUGAACUGAGACACGCC
rnacentral:rRNA from 1 species